AUGAGGUCCCAGGGAGGGGCUGUUCAGACACCGACGGCCGAGGGACUCUUGUUUGCUUUAUAAGAGAAUCCAUCUUGUGAGCAGGGUGGGCUUGCAGGCAGUGGUUUUGUGUUUUUUUGAAUUUCUAAGCUCAGUAGGUAUGAGAUGGUGUCAGUGGAGAAGGGGCCGGCUGUAAAGAUGUGAUCAAGGCCUAGUUUGCACAUCAAAUAGAUUUUCUUUAAUUAACCACACAAAAUGAUAAAAACUUUAAAAUGGCUUUCUUCCCACCUGUGAAAAGAAAAACUUCAGCUGAAUUAAAUCUAAAGGAGUUUAAUUGAGCAAUGAAGGAUUCACGAAUUGGGCAGCCCCCAGAAUCACAGCAGAUUCAAAGAGAUUCCAGUGCAGUCAUGUGGCAGAAGAUUUAUAGACAAAAAAAAGAGAAAUGAUGUACAGAAAUCGGAAGUGAGGCACAGAACAGCUGGCGACUCAGCGUUUGCCUUAUUUGAACACAGUUUGAACACUCAGCAGGAAAGGAAAAUUCAAGACUGUUCAUGGAGGGGAAGAGGAUUUAAAAAUGGCAAAUGUCACCCAAAUAUCAAUCAGAAAGUACUCAUUCCCUAAGCCGGGAAUUGAACCAUGAACCUGGCAGCCAUUGUGAUAGAGAGACUGAGGAAAACAUUUCCAC
rnacentral:lncRNA from 1 species